rnacentral:rRNA from 1 species
GACGAACGCUGGCGGCGUGCUUAACACAUGCAAGUCGAGCGGUAAGGCCCUUUCGGGGGUACACGAGCGGCGAACGGGUGAGUAACACGUGGGUGACCUGCCCUCAGCUCUGGGAUAAGCCUGGGAAACCGGGUCUAAUACUGGAUAUGACUCCAUGACGCAUGUUGUGGGGUGGAAAGCCUUGUGCGGCUGAGGAUGGGCCCGCGGCCUAUCAGCUUGUGUGGGU